CGUGACUCAGAAGACAGCCAUAUUGGAAAAUAGAUUCAAUGCAGGGUGUGAUAUUCAAUGAAGAUUACUUAGACGAUACGUGCUCUUCUUAGCCUACUGGCUUAUAAAUGCAACAAUGAAUUGGGGAACAGAGUUAUGGGAUCAGUAUGACAUCGUAGCAGAUCACACCCAGAAAGGCAUAGACUUUUGCGAGCGGUACCAACACUUCCUUAAAGAGAGAUGUUCUAUAGAAUUUGAAUAUGCCAAUAAACUCAAAAAAUUAGUCAAGAAUUAUCAACCAAGGAAGAAAGAUGAAGAUGAAUAUCAGUACACGUGGGCGAACGGAUUCCAGGAUAUGAUCAAGGAACUGCAUGAUCUGGCCGGACAACAUGAAGUGAUCGCAGAAAACACACAAAGCUCCGUGAUGAAGGAGUUGACGGUUCUCAUCGCUGAACUCAAAGCCGACCGCAAAAAGUAUUUAUUAGAUGGAUCUAAAGUACAGGAGCAGUUGAAAGUAUCUAAGGCACAGCUAGAAAAGAGUAGAAGACAAUAUGAAAAGUCCUUUAAAGAAUCAGAAAAAGCGCUGGAGGCAUAUCGCAAGGCCGACGCAGACAUCAACCUAUCUCGUGCCGAGGUGGAAAAGCAAGCGAAAUAUAAACAGUAUCUUGAGGCGCAUAGAAACCAAAUGAUGUUGAAAGGUCAACAGUGUGAGAAGUGUAAAAACGAUUACGCCUCCCAGCUCCAGCAGACCAACACACAACAACGGGACCACUUCAGCGCACUCAUGCCACAAGUCUUUCAGCAACUGCAAACAAUGGAUGAGAACCGGAUCAAUCGACAGCAAGAGUAUUUUAAACAAUGUUCAAGCAUAGAGCGCAACGUGGUACCGAUCAUCAAUACGUGUAUAGACGGCAUGGAGAAAGCUGCGUCCUCUAUCGAUGCUAAACAAGAUUCCAAACUUGUGGUGGACAAAUACAAGUCCGGAUUCCCCAUGCCUGAUGACAUUCCGUUUGACGAUCUGAGCAGUAGCCCGUUCCCAGAGUCCAACAGUAACCACCACAAUACGCCUGUCGGCACCACCAAGUCCAACACCAUCUCUGGGCGCACCUCCAAAAACAAAACGAAACGCGGUGGCAUCAUGAACCUUUUUAGCGGUUCAAAGACCUCUGUAACAAAAAUAAUAGGUCUACUGACUGAUGACACAAAGGAAGAUUUUAGUGAUUUACCGCCAAACCAGAGAAGGAAAGCCCUGCAAAAAAAGAUUGAUGGCUUCAAGAAGGAUAUAGGUCGCGAAACUGCAGAAAGAGAAGGCAUGCUAAAGAUGAAGGAAGUAUAUGCCAAGAAUCCAGCUCUAGGUGACCCGGCCAUCUUGGACAAGAAGAUUGAAGAAAAUGCACAGAAAUUAGACAGUCUUAAUGCAGAACUUAGAAAAUUUCAGAAUUACCUGGCUGAUGCUGAAGGAAAGCAGCACAUCAGUGGCUCGGACGACUCAAUAUCUCAUAGUACCUCGGAGGGCAGUGUGCAAAACUCUAACGUGGUGUCGGCACCAGGCACGCCCCAGGCCCAGCAUGCAGUCUACGAGGUUUACGACCCACACAUCAGUGAUGAUGAGUUUGAUGAUUAUCCUGUUCCUCCCAGCUCCAUCCCAGAUGAGGACGCGAUGCCACAAUCUAUAGAGCAGGAACAAGUUGAACAGAUAGAGCAGGAGGAAUUUGAGGAGGACGCCUUCCAGGUGAUCGGCACGUGUCGGGCGGUGUACAAGUUUGAUGCUGAUAACGGGAGCUCUGUGUCGAUGGAGGAAAACGAGGAGAUGGCGGUGAUAGAAAUAGACCAGGGUGACGGCUGGACACGUGUACGUAGAAAGGAUGAUUCUGAAGGGUUCGUACCCACGUCCUAUAUACAGUGUCACUUCUACGAUCAAGACGAGGUUUGAGGCCCUAGCGACCAUCAGUCGGACAAAUGAAGUCUGGAAGGAUGUGGCCUCGAGCAAGGAGCUCUACUUCCCGACUUCUACAACCAGCAAUUUUAUCGUCUUGGCUAAAAUAGCCAGGAUUUCAUAUUAUAAGGCAUUGAAGCUACUACAAUCUGUAUGUUGGGACUAUAAUGCCACAAUUCAUGGGAUGUCAGUAACAAUGACCAUAGCCUAGCUGUAUUAGCGUGAUCCAGACCUGGUCAUAACCGUAAAGACUAGACAGGCCCUGUCAGAUAGCUUGGUCUUAAGCAGACACAGACCUGUGACCCAGUAUUAUAUAAUUUAGCUGCAGACUUGUGAGAACAUAGAUCAGCUUUUCGUGUCUGCAGGGAUGUAGCAGUUGGACAGUGAUAAGUAAUUUACAGGCUUGAUUGGCCCAAAAGACGAUUAUAAUUGGUGGACUGGGUGGGCCCUGACGGCGGAUCCUCGUUGGAUAAUAAACACUUGUGAAUAGCCUGUGAGCAGUCUAGGAAAGGGCCAGUGGACAGCAAUGAUUUGUUGAUUGCUUAAAGUGGCCAAGGAGAUGGUCACUGGACAAAAAUUACUUUUGAUGGCCUGUAGCGGCCAAGGAGAGGGUCAGUAAAAUUUCGCCACUAGAAAUGUUCAGUGGAAUUCACACCAAAGGGACAUAACCACUGGUUCUACUAACACAUGAAACAUUUUUUGCCAAACCAAAUAGUGAGAUAUACUAUUCAGGUUUAUAUAGCUGCCAGCUUUCGAUGUGUGUUCAUGUGUUGACGGAGAAGAAACAUUGUUUUCCCAGUAAAACCAUUACUCAAUACUGUAUAUAGUCCUGUGUAUUUUAAAACGUCCUGAAUUCACUUUUUGUUCAAUCAUUGCUGUGUCAUCGGAAUGGAUGAAAGAUGAUAAAGUCAUCAGAUUGGAUCGCUGAGUCAUCAGAAUGGAUGAGACUUACUGUUUAAUCAAAUGUUCGGAAUCUGUUAUACAGAUUUCUAUUAGAGAAGUUCUAUAUUCUUCUUCCUCCCAACACUAGCUUGUUUUCAGACAGAGCAAGUGAUUUCGGGUCACAUCGCUAUUUUUGUCAAACUGUGUGUAGCACAUUUCAUUUGAAAAGAGAUUUCAUAUCAGAUAUUGAUGACAGUGUUUUAAAGACCUUUUUGUUAAAUCGUUCAUUUUGGUCACUGUUUUUCCAACCAUUGAAAUUAAAUUCCGACAUACGUUGUAUUGAACAUGCGGUGUACUGCUUUAGAAUUAAUCCAUCUUAUGAUGUACAGUUCAACCUGGGGUAUCUGGACUAAAAUAAAUUAUCAUUCUGGGGAUAAAAUCAUCCACCAAAAUGUGUACAUUACUGUGGUUCCUCUGUAGGCUGUGUGCUGACCAAAGUUUUUUUUACACUUUUGAUAAAACAUUUCUUCAGUCAACAGAAAAUUAUUGCAUUUGUUUGCAACAUUUUACUACAUGUAUCAUGUAUUAUCUUCCUUUCUUCCUAUAACUCGCCCUUUUUUCAUAUCAAACUUCAAUUUUGAUUGAUUUGUGACUUUAUUUCUCGAUAGUUUCCUGUUUUCUGAUCCAGAGGCGGGAUUAUCAUUUGGACCAAGCUAUCAAUAAAAUUCUCAAUUGUCAAAAUCAGAUUGGCAACUGUUUCAUCCAAAAUGUAAAAUGAAACUUAUUUUUGCAAAAGUCACCUCUAUACGUGAUAAAGUGAAUGUAUUGGAGAAAGCCAAAUAUGUAGCUUUUCAGAGGACUGUUUUAAUUUUGACAAUUCAAGGGAAGCACAUUCUGAGGUAGAGGUAUAGACCCAGCACUGGUGAUCCCUUCACAAUCAUAACUUGUUCUAGGGCUCUUCUCAAGUGGAGUUAUCUCCCUUCGAAGAUACUGAUUCACAUAUUUUGAAAUCUCUUAGAUAAUUUCACAAUCAAUGACGAUAUUACUCAUGAAAAUGCAUUUAAUCAGUUUCAGAUGUGUUUCUUGUUUUAACAGUCUUUUUGAAGAGAUUUUUACCCAAUUAUAAUACAGUAUAGUCUGGAAUAACAUUUUAUCAAACCAAUUACUCAUUUAAUAACAUAUUUAGUUAAGUUUUAGUCCAUUUUUUUCUCCAAACUAACUACAAAGUGUCGUCCCCUGCUUGUAGUUAUGGUGGUCAUUCCAAUUCCCAUAAAUUAUGUCCAAAGAAAUAAUGAGAAAAAGCAUGAAUUGUGAUUUUGCCCUGAUGCUGAUUAAGAUGAAGUUUGAAGAUGUUGUAUAGAGUGAUAUACAGCUUAAUCACACACUGAGAUCAAAUUAAAAUAUCUGGUAUUGCAUAAAUCAUUAAACGUGAAUCUUGCAACCUAAUUGUUCUGAAACAUAAAUGAUCAUCUCGAAAGAUUGUAAAGCUGAUUCACUAUGUUUAAAAUGUUAAUUUUUAGACAAAUAUCAUUUUGAAAAAUGAACUUUACGUAAAGAUACGAGAACGUGUUACAUUUAGUUAAGUAUACAAUGUAUAUUUAACAAACUAAUAACAUUGGUUCGGAAGAACUAGGAUUACAGUAUAUAAUAUGUUAUUGAUCUACUAUAAGAGGAUACAAAAGGAUCUUGAUGUUUAAACAUGUUAAAUGGCAUGGCCAUACACAGGGACUUGUGUGGAUAAUUAUUAUAAUUAAUAUGUGAAACUCAGUAUUACAACUAUAUAUAUAUAUAUAUAACUGUAAAUUUCACACGCUGAACGUAUUUAUGACACAUUUCCACAAAUCAAUUGACAAGUAGUGUUGUAAAUAAUACUUUGUCAGAUAACGGCUGGUGCCUAUUACAACAGACUAACUAGGAACCAGAAUUUAUAUCACGAAUUCAUUGGAAAGGAUUUUAAUGUGAACAUUUAUGUACGUCUGUAUGUUCCCUUCAGACACUUGUCUUUGAUCGUAACAUGCAUCAAUUUUACCUUCAUUAUUUACGAACAUUUUACAAUUUUCCAUUGAUGAAUCAUCUAUAAUACCGCCUCCAGAUACUUUACAAUCACAAAGAUUAUUUUAAAGUCGCAUGGCAUCACAAUCGAGGCUCAGUUUCUGUUUUUUUAAGUCGUGUACACAUAGGGAUAAAUCUGCCUUGUCUUGGUGAGUGUUGGCUUCAAGUGGUCUAUAUAAAUUAGUGUUAAAUUAUUGUAACAAGUUAUUUCAAAUCAUGCAUCGUUAUAAUGACAUUGAGUAUAUAUACAGGUAUUUUUAGCUACUAAUUAACAAUCUAAUCUAUUCUGAGUGGUCUGCAACUUUACCAUUUCAAUAUAGAAAUGCCUACUGUAAUUUGAGAUAUGACUUGCAUUACACGUCACAAAAGCAAUGGUUUUUCUCUACCCAGGCUCAACCUUACAAUCAAUUCCUUCAGUGUUAAUGCCAGUUAUACAUCACUACUCAAUUACGAAUCAUACUUGUGCACUGUGUGUUGGUAUAAAAUGUUUUAAAUACUGUAGUUUGUUUUAAAAAGCUUUUAAUCAUAGUUUUUCUCCUGGUACAGACAUGUCCUUGUUCACAGUUUUGGUACUUACUGAACAGUACUGGAAGAUGUCUGGAUAGGACGGACAAACAUUUUAAUACCUCAAAACAUUCUAGAAUAGUAUACCGGUAUAUAAAAAAAACAACGUUUUAUGUCAUCGUUCAUUAGCUGACUUCCACUUAUAAUGAAGCUAAUGUUUCAUUGCUAGGUACUUUUGCAAGUCUAAACCUCACAAUCAAGGCUAAUGAUAUUUGUCUAAUGUAAGGACAUUAGCGUUUUUCCAAAAAAGUUCUAGUCAUGGAAAAUUAUUUUUUUCAAAUCCUUUAUUCCGUUUGGACAAUAAUUCAUCACAUCUGAAUUGAUGCACAAACAUUGAUGUCAUAAUAAUGCUGAUUGGAAACUGCUAAUGAUAGUUAACGUUUACACACAGAUGUAUGUGUGACUGUAGCAUAUAACCUGAAUUUUACCAUCUGAAAUAAUCCUCUUGUGCUCUUAAGUUGAUAAUAGACUUGAAUACGGGACAAACAUUGAACAAGAGGCACAAUUUAAUGGACCAAAUUUCACUUGAAAGGCUAAAAUUUAGUAUAUUUAAACCUAGGGUACCGCGGUAUACCACAACAAUGUAUACUUACUGUAGGUUAAUAGUCAAUCACUUUGUGUAGAGAAGGACAUUUGAUGAACUAGCAUGAUUUUAUUUUGAAAGUCUAUUAUUAAGCUGAUUAAUUGUAUGAUGUAGGUGGGAAAAGUGCCUUUAGGGAUUUUUAAUUAAUGUCUGUAGCUUAAUCAUAACUCAAAUGUAGCUUUUCUCAUUAGUCAAAUAUGGCCCUUAUCAUCAGUUAAAUUAAAUGUAAUCCCUUUUCAUUGGUCAAAUUUAGCCCUACUCAUCAGUCAAAUAUAAUCCCUUUUCAUUGGUCAGAUUUUUUUAGUCCUUCUUAUCAAUCAAAUGUAGCCCUUUUCAUCACUCAAAUGAAGCCAUUUUCAUCAUUCAAUUGUGGCCCUUUUCAUCAGUCGUGCAAUAAUUUCAUAUAUACCUAAUCACGUAUUCCAAGAGAGUUUGUACUAUUUCAGUGUGAUUUCAUGUGUGUACCACAGCCAUUCAUACAAACCAUCGGUAAUGUAGACCACCUUCAGUAUAAUUGUCCUAUUAGUCUGGAUAAUGUUAGGAUCUGUUAACUGAUUAUAUGGUACAGCUAUUAGUAUACAAAAUCGUAAUGUGGUCUGGUAAAAAUGAACUCCCUGAAUUCCCUCAAUGUGUUUAUAUGAUUCUCACACUCUUUUACAGUAAGUUGUAAUUCCGUAAGGUAUAUUCGUUAGAAACCAAGUAUAGUAAAGUGUUUUUCCUUCAUAUUUGAAUUAAUUUCACUCCAUGUUAGUUGUUUGGUGAUGAUAUUGUGAGUAGUUAAAUCAGGGCAUGUUAUAUAGGUAUACUUGUAUUGAAGGUACCUACGAUACAUGUAUGUACCACGUUUCGGAUUUGGGAGAUUUUGUAACUAGGCUGUAAGCAGGAAUCUAGCAGACCAAAGCCAAGCACAGAAAUAUUCCAUCAUCUUUUCACAGUUAUUGAAAUUUAUUACCAAACUGUACUCAUCUCAAAUCAAAAUGUUCAGGAGUUUCUUUCGACAUGACAGUGUUACAAAUUGCAAGGUACAGUGUAGUCUGGAACAUUGGAGUUAAUUGGAAAUGUCCUGUUAAGCUUGCCAUGAACAUCUUAUGUAUACUAGUUCUAUAGUAUAAAAACUCGCCUUACAAUGUUUAAUCUAUAACAUGUAUUUUAUAACGUCAGAGUCUAAAAGCAUUAUGGACAGAGAACUAGUUUAUCCUUAUAAUUAUCCACUAAUCAAAGUAUGCUAAACAGAGUUGAUGUUGACACCAAGCCCAUAUCAAACAGAUUGCCGGGUUUUUAUAGGGAAACGUCUCGGAUCAAAUCAUAUGCUUAAUUGCUAGGAUGAUGUACCAAAGGUAUAUAUGGUUGAUUCAUUGAAACAAUUCCUCGUUAAUGAAAUGAUUGAUCAAAUGUUUGGACUUGGGAAGGAUGGCUAACCAUAAGUCUGUUUUUAACGUCCCUCGAUGUACAGACAUUCUCCAGUUCAAAUGAUGCGUCUUUGUUUGGUCAGAACUCUACCUGGACUGUUCAUGUUGUAUGUUGGCAAGGUAAUAGCCUGUUAUUUGAACUGGAGAUCUUUACAUCACAGGACCCAAAAUACAGGUUAUUUGGAUUUUAUACAUGAGAGUACUAGUGUAUCCAAUGUAUAUAUAUACUUUUACCUUUUUUAUGAUCGGUGGACCAAUGUUUCAACACUGCUAAGGAUAGUCAACAAUGUUCGGGGAUAGUAUUAAAUAUGAUAUUGACAUGUGGAGUAAGAUAUCCAGGUUUUACCUGCAUGUCCUCUCUAUACACUGGAACUACUGUACUGCUGGAAUACUCAUGUCUAUAGUGUCAAUUAUAACCACGCCUAUAUCUAUCAGCCACCUUUUACAGUGUACACUUAGUUAUAAUUUUAGAAGUGUCCCUUGAUGCACUGCCAAAUGGACAAAUCUUAACCAGCAUGUCCUGUAGAUCUAUGUACACAUGGGUGAAUAGACCUCCUGCGAAAAGCACAUCUCCUAUUGUUUCUCAAAAAUUAUACAACCAAACAUCUCAAAGUUCCAAAAGGCAUUGAUUUUUGCUGGUUCAUUAAACGCCACAUCAAGACCAGAUGAAAGCAUAUUGACACAAGAACAAACCACAUGCAGGUGCAUAAAUUCUUUUGAAAUUUUUCGGAUUGUAGACAAAUUACAAUAACGACAGACAAUUGCAUUGCAUCAAGGAGAGCUUCAAACGUAAAGAAAUUCCCGGUAGGCUUGGUAGAUAGGUUUCUCUGUAGUGUAUAAAUAAAAUCCUUCAAGAAAUUGACUCUGUCCCUCAUUUUCUCUUAUGAUAUUUGACUAAGUUGUACACUUAAUUUUAAUCACUGUAUAUAAACUUGUUGUAAAUUCGUGUACAUUUUUUUACCAGAUUGUAGAUUAUGGGGCAGUCUAUCGUAUCAAAUUAGUGUAUAGUGCUUAGAUGUAUUGCCGGCAUGGUAGUAGAUAUACCUAGUAUAUAAAUAUAUAUAUAUAUAUAUAAACGUGUAGUCGAGAACGUAGACCUACUAGAAUGCAAUAUAUUAUUAUUAUUAAUCUAUUAUGCUCAUGUUCAAUGGCUGGUACUCAUGUGAUGUUAACCAUUUUGUUUUGUUAACACAUUAUUUCAUCAACAAAUCUUAUUAGUCGAUGUCGACACAAUUUAGUCAUGUGAUUUUAUAUGAUGCUUGUUUUAUUGAUUUGGAAUGUUUGAGCUUGUUUUUGGAGAGUUGUCUGAGAAUUGAUGUUGGGUAAGGUGAGUAUGUGGGUGAGGAACGUCUGUGCUGUAAGCAACAAAACAUUGAUUGGAUUCCAGUAGCUAUGAUCCCAUUCACCUUUCCUGAACGAUAGUUUAUUGUUUUUCCUUAACUCAUAUGCAUUCACCCCUGACGGCACAUUUGAACUCUUCCAAUUCAAAGUUUGGAAUAGUUCAUUAUGAAAUUUCAGGUGUGAAUGAGUAAUAGGAAGAACAUACUAUCAUUUGGGGUAGCUAACAGAUUAAUACAGUAAUAUAAAACAUAUUUUGUUUCGGAGACCUACUAUAAUUUGCCUAUAGAUAUAUCGACAAAUAUGCAUUGUUACAUGUUUUGGAAGUAGACACCAUUGUCCAGGCAUGUUUCACAAAACAAUGUCUGAAUGUAUCGCUGUUUUUCUUGUUGGUUCAGAAUCAUGUUUUUGGCAUUGUAUGAUAUAGGUUCAGUGUUUAUUGGCCAUUGUUGUGCAUAGAAGAAAGAAAUAGAACGUUAAUUUGUCAGCCAUUAGCUUAUCAAACUUUUUGAAUCAAGCUCCGUUAGAACUCCCAAUCUUAUUACCAUCAUAAAAGUUUUGUUACCCAAUAAUUAACAUGAAGUUUGUUGUGUUCAUAAGAUUAAUAUCAGGCCUCCGUUGAAAAUUAACUGCUGUCGAGAAAUCUUUGCUAGUUUUUCAGAAAUAGGUAACUGGAAUCAUAGCUGUUAUUUGAUUUGUGAUUGUGAUAUUAUAAGGAUUGUACAACAGAAUGAGAGAAAGUUUCAAUAGAUUUGUGUUGCUACGAAUGGCCUGUUGAUUGGUCAGUAGAGCGUGGGGAGAAAUGUGUGAAAUGUGUUUCUGUGUGAAAUAGUGAGUGUUUCUGUGUGAGAUAGUGAGUUUUCUGUGUGAGAUAGUGAGUUUUCUGUGUGAGAUAGUGAGUGUUUCUGUGUGAGAUAGUGAGCGACUCAUUCGCUGUCCUGUCAGCAUUUUGAUAUUCUAUUCAAUAGCACGUACUUAAUGUAUGAAUGUUGCCUAUUUAAAUCAGUGUUUGUAUUUUAACGUGUAACUUUGGUGAUUGUGGCGAUGUUAAAUGUUCAGCUAUACAGCCUACAUUUGUUUUUCAACUGUUACUACUAGAAUAACCCUACAUGUACCCGUGUAGUAUCUUAUCUCUCCUUAACAUUGUGUACGCUUUUCAUGUGAUUGUGUCUCUCCUUGUGAUAAAAUAUCAUCUACCCUGUCCCUCUUAUUCAUCUAUUAUAUGUUAAUGAGAUAAUCAUGAUUAUAUUCAGCUGAUUAAUUUUUACAAAGAUACCAGUUUUACAGAAAGAUAUUGCAUUGUAUCACAAUUGUUCAUAUAUAUUCAUCCGUACAUAAGCCAGGAAGAAUUGAGAUGAGUGGUUGACGCACUGCCUUCAAUGUGUGUCACAGAUCAUGCAAGUGGAUAAUACAACAGAGGCGUGCUUUACAAACCUGACAUUAGAGAAACACUGGUUUGUUUACACCAGUUGUUGUGAACGUUUGGUAACCACAACUGCGUUUACUUCAGUAUUGGACGGCUUUGUUGGGUGUGUUUACAUCAAAAUUGGUCUGCCAUGUUGGGUGUGUUCACUUUCAGCGUUGGUCGGCCGUGUUGGGAGUGUUCACUUCCAGCGUUCGUCGGCCGUGUUGAGUGUGUUCACUUUCAGCGUUGGUCGACCACGUUGGGUGUGUUCACUUUCAGUUUUGGUCGGCCAGGUUGGGAGUGUUCACUCUCAGCGUUGGUCGUCGUCUAUGUUGGGUGUGUUCACUUUCAGUGUUGGUCGGCCACGUUGAGUGUGUUUAAUGCAAAGUUGACCAGCUACACAGUGUGUUCCGAGCAAUGUCGAUCGGUAAGAUGGAGUUGUUCAUUUUAAGUUUGGAUUGAAAGCCAAUGGUGAAUGUGCUUACUUCAAUAUUGGUGACUAACGCUGGCUUUUCUGAACUCAUGUUGCAAGGCUUCAUUGAGCUUGUUACAUAAAUGUCAGUAGCAAACAAGUUGUUUGUAAGUAACGUUUAGUUUGUUCUGUUAAUUGUUGGCAGCGCUCAGCUUGUUCACUCCAAUGCUGAUCGGCAACGCUGAAUUUGUUCACACCGAUGCCUAGACUCGGCGCGCUAUCUUAGCGUGAUGUUAUAGAAGCGAAAUGCUUCUCUCUUCCUUACAAUAAUUGGGGUCGUGCCAAACAGAGACAUUCACUUCUUGUAUUUAUUUCAUAACAUUUAUAUUACAUGCCCUUAUUAAACUCCAAAUUUGCAAUGCAAAUGGUACAGUUUGAAUGUAAAGAUAAUAAAAGUCAUUCUGCUA
rnacentral:misc_RNA from 1 species